AUUGAACGCUGGCGGCGUGCCUAACACAUGCAAGUCGGAUGUGCCGCAAGGUGCAUGGCAGACGGGUGAGUAACGCGUGGGGAACCUACCUCUUUGUGGGGAAUAACGUUCCGAAAGGAAUGGUAAUACCGCAUGAGACCACAGGCUGGGAUGCUUGUGGUGAAACCCGGGGACCGAAAGGCCUGGGGCAAGGAGAGGGUCCUGCGUCAGAUUAGCUAGUUGGUAGGGUAAAGGCCUACCAAGGCGACGAUCUGUAGCGGGUCUGAGAGGAGGAUCCGCCACACUGGGACUGAGACACGGCCCAGACUCCUACGGGAGGCAGCAGUGGGGAAUUUUGGACAAUGGGGGAAACCCUGAUCCAGCCAUGCCGCGUGAGUGAAGAAGGCCUUCGGGUUGUAAAGCUCUUUCGGCUGGGAAGAAAUCGCACAGGCUAAUACUCUGUGUGGAUGACGGUACCAGCAUAAGAAGCACCGGCUAACUACGUGCCAGCAGCCGCCGUAAAAC
rnacentral:rRNA from 1 species